rnacentral:rRNA from 1 species
CGGCCAGAGACCGAUAGCGCACAAGUAGAGUGAUCGAAAGAUGAAAAGCACUUUGAAAAGAGGGUUAAACAGCACGUGAAAUUGUUAAAAGGGAAGCGCUUGUGACCAGACUUGCGUCCGGUGAAUCACCCAGCUCUCGCGGCUGGGGCACUUCGCCGGCUCAGGCCAGCAUCAGCUCGCUGUCGGGGACAAAAGCUUCAGGAACGUAGCUCUCUUCGGGGAGUGUUAUAGCCUGUUGCAUAAUACCCCUUCGGCGGGCUGAGGUACGCGCUCCGCAAGGAUGCUGGCAUAAUGGUCAUCAGCGACCCGUCUUGAAACACGGACC